rnacentral:rRNA from 1 species
CCUAGGGGGGCUGCAGUGGGGAAUAUUGGACAAUGGGCGAAAGCCUGAUCCAGCCAUGCCGCGUGUGUGAAGAAGGCCUUCGGGUUGUAAAGCACUUUCAGUGGGGAAGAAAGCCUUGGGGCUAAUACCCUCGAGGAAGGACAUCACCCACAGAAGAAGCACCGGCUAACUCCGUGCCAGCAGCCGCGGUAAUACGGAGGGUGCGAGCGUUAAUCGGAAUUACUGGGCGUAAAGCGCGCGUAGGCGGUCUGAUAAGCCGGUUGUGAAAGCCCCGGGCUCAACCUGGGAACGGCAUCCGGAACUGUCAGGCUAGAGUGCAGGAGAGGAAGGUAGAAUUCCCGGUGUAGCGGUGAAAUGCGUAGAGAUCGGGAGGAAUACCAGUGGCGAAGGCGGCCUUCUGGACUGACACUGACGCUGAGGUGCGAAAGCGUGGGUAGCAAACAGGAUUAGAUACCUUGUAGUC